GCCGGGCGCGGUGGUACUCAGGAGGCUGAGGUGGGAGGAUCGCUUGAGCCCAGGAGUUCUGGGCUGCAGUGCGCUAUGCUGAUUGGGUGUCUGCACGAAGUUCGGCAUCAAUAUGGUGACCUCCCGGGAGUGGGGGCCCACCAGGUUGCCUAAGGAGGGGUGAACCGGCUCAGGUGGGAAAUGGAGCACGUCAAAACUCCCGUGCUGAUCAGUAGUGGGAUCACACCAGUGAAUAGCCACUGCACUCCAGCCUGGGCAACAUAGUGAGACCUAACAAU
rnacentral:SRP_RNA from 1 species